rnacentral:RNase_P_RNA from 1 species
CAAGCAGUCUGGGUGAUCGCGCGUACAGAGGCCGAAAGGCGGUGCGUGAGGAAAGUCCGGGCUCCGUAGGGCAGGGUGCUGGGUAAUACCCAGUGGGGGUGACCCUAAGGAAAGUGCCACAGAAAUGGAGACCGCCCCGCACUCACCGGACCGGAGAAGCAUUGGAGAUUUCAAAUUUGACCUGUGACGGAAAUUUGCUCAAGCGUCUUUGGUGCGGUGAGUGCGGGGCAAGGGUGCAACGGUGCGGUAAGAGCGCACCAGCGGUCAGGCAACUGGCCGGCUAGGUAAACCCCACCUGGAGCAAGACCGAAUAGAGAGGCUAGGGAGUGGCCCGCUCCGCCUCCGGGUAGGUCGCUGGAGGCCCCAGGCAACUGGCGGCUCGAGAGAGAUGAUCAUCGCCUUCGAUUUUCGAAGGAACAGAACCCGGCUUACAGGACUGCUUGCUUA